rnacentral:rRNA from 1 species
ACUCAAAUGAAUUGACGGGGGCCCGCACAAGCAGUGGAGUAUGUGGAUUAAUUCGAUGCAACGCGAAGAACCUUACCGGGGCUUGACAUGGGGACGACAGGUGUAGAGAUACACCCUUCUUCGGACGUCCCACACAGGUGGUGCAUGGUUGUCGUCAGCUCGUGUCGUGAGAUGUUGGGUUAAGUCCCGCAACGAGCGCAACCCUUAUCAUUAGUUGCUACAUUCAGUUGAGCACUCUAAUGAGACUGCCGUUGGCAAAACGGAGGAAGGUGGGGAUGACGUCAAAUCAUCAUGCCCUUUAUGUCCCGGGCUUCACACGUACUACAAUGGCAUUUAACAAUGAGCAGCGAACCCGCGAGGGGAAGCAAAUCUCCAAAAAGUGCCUCAGUUCGGAUUGUAGGCUGAAACUCGCCUGCAUGAAGUCGGAAUUGCUAGUAAUCGUGAAUCAGCAUGUCACGGUGAAUACGUUCCCGGGCCUUGUACACACCGCCCGU